CUUCCUUUUGCUGCUGCUCAAAUUGGCCAGGCUUUUAGAAAUGAGAAUCAAUCAUGGUUGGGUUCCCUUAUCAACACUAUAGUUGGAAAUUUGAAACUCUCAAUUUCAAAUAUUCAUAUCAGAUACGAGGGCAGUGAAAGCAAUCAUGGUCACCCAUUUGCAGCAGGUGUGACCUUGGAGAAGCUCUUAGCUUCCUUCUGAGUGGGUCCAGGUUUUUAGAUAUGGCACUGAAGAAGGCAAACCUGCUGAUAGAAUUGUCAAACAACACACUUAUAUUCUGGAACCAAUUACAGGAAAUGCAAAGUAUAUUCUGGAUGAUGUCAUUCUCUGUUUAUCAAAGGAUGGAUACAAAGAUAUGUUAAAACUAGCUGAUAAGUUUUCUGCCUUUAAUCAACGCUUAAAAUAUGCGCAUUUUCGUCCACAUGUUUCCGUGAAAUCUGAUCCUCGUUCUUGGUGGAAGUAUGCUUAUAGAGCUGU